CUCAAAGAUCGUCACUCACAUCUCUUUACCAUGGUAAAUGUUCAAAAUGACAUGCGCAAGCUCUAGUAAUAGUCUUAAUUUAAAUAUAAAAGUAAAAAUUGUUCUAUCCAGUUUCAUAAUGUUACUGCACAUUAGGAAGGAAAAAUCUAGGCACAUUCAUUGUUUUCAAUGAAAAACAAGUUACCCUAAAAUAUUAUAAGCCUAAGAUCAAU